GAUGAACGCUGGCGGCGUGCUUAACACAUGCAAGUCGAACGGUGAAGGCGGAGCUUGCUCUGCUGGAUCAGUGGCGAACGGGUGAGUAACACGUGAGCAAUCUGCCCCUGACUCUGAGAUAAGCGCUGGAAACGGCGUCUAAUACUGGAUACGAGCUGCGAAGGCAUCUUCAGCAGCUGGAAAGAACUUCGGUCAGGGAUGAGCUCGCGGCCUAUCAGCUUGUUGGUGAGGUAACGGCUCACCAAGGCGUCGACGGGUAGCCGGCCUGAGAGGGUGACCGGCCACACUGGGACUGAGACACGGCCCAGACUCCUACGGGAGGCAGCAGUGGGGAAUAUUGCACAAUGGGCGAAAGCCUGAUGCAGCAACGCCGCGUGAGGGACGACGGCCUUCGGGUUGUAAACCUCUUUUAGCAGGGAAGAAGCGAAAGUGACGGUACCUUCAGAAAAAGCGCCGGCUAACUACGUG
rnacentral:rRNA from 1 species